rnacentral:rRNA from 1 species
UACAGAGGGGGCAAGCGUUGUUCGGAAUUACUGGGCGUAAAGGCGCGUAGGCGGCCUGCUAAGUCGAACGUGAAAUCCCUGGGCUCAACCCAGGAACUGCGUCCGAUACUGGAAGGCUUGAAUCCGGGAGAGGGAUGCGGAAUUCCAGGUGUAGCGGUGAAAUGCGUAGAUAUCUGGAGGAACACCGGUGGCGAAGGCGGCAUCCUGGACCGGUAUUGACGCUGAGGCGCGAAAGCCAGGGAGCAAACGGG